AGGGGUAUAGUACAACGGCUAGUAUAACGGUCUCCAAAACCGUAGAUCUAGGUUCGAUUCCUAGUACCCCUGCCA
rnacentral:tRNA from 1 species